ACUGGAGAUGGUAAGAGGUGAGGCUCCCUCUCCUCCUGGUUGGGAAAGAGGAAGUACAUAACCCCAAUAGCUGCCCGCAGCUAUCAGGAGGCGCGUGGAACGUGACAGCAGUAUGGGUGAAGAAACUAAGAAUCAGAGGAGUUCUAACUGAGCCAUGAGGACUCGAUUCCUGAAAACCUUAUUUAUAAAAAACAGGAAUGGGAACUAAAACAAGGCAACCUGUGCAAGCCCUUACAAGUUUUUCAUGUAUUACAGUAAAAGGAAGAGAAGCAGGAAGAAGUUGUUUCAACAUCCCUAUAGAGAUGAUGCUGACGUAAUGAAAGCAACAUUACCGUGGAGAAGAGAAACUACAUUCAAAUAAUAUUUCUGAGGUAAAAAUAAGAUUUAUUUACUAUGUGUUAAGUGGGGCAAAGGCUUGGUACAAAAGAAAUUAGAGCUGUUUCUGAAGUUUCUAGUUUGAGACACCAGGUGAGAGCAAUGGAGAGGGUGCCAGAGAGGGUGCCAUUCCAUCCCAUCUCCUCUCUUUAUCUUCAAUCUCUUCCAGGAAGCAUAUAAACAUUUAUCUAACAUAUUAAAAUAAAACAAAACAAAACCUUAAGAUUCCACCAAAAACUCCAAUCAGCACUCCAUCACUCUUGUCCUCCCAAAGUCCAGCUAGUCAUCUAUAUAUGCCCUGUUUCAAUUUUCUUACCACACAAUUUACUUAACCCUCACUAAUCUGGUUUUCAACCCAUGAGUGAAUGUUGCGGGAAGUUAGGGACCCUGAAUGGAGGGACCUGCUGAAGCUGUGACAGAAGAAUAUAAAUCGUGAAGAUUUCAUGGACAUUUAUCAGUUCCCCAAAUUAAUACUUUUAUAAUUUCUUACGCCUGUCUUUACUGCAAUCUCUGAACAUAAACUGUGAAGAUUUCAUGGACAUUUAUCACUUCCCCAAUCAAUACUCUUAUAAUUUCCUAUGCCUGUCUUUAAUCUCUUAAUCCCGUCAUCUUCGUAAGCUGAGCAUGUAUGUCGCCUCAGGAUCCUGUGAUGAUUGUGUUAUCUGCAUAAAUUGCUUGUAGAGCAUGUGUGUUUGAACAAUAUGAAAUUUGGGCACCCAAAAGCAACAGGAUGGCUGCAGUGUUCAGGGAACAAGGGAGAUGAUCAUUAGGUCUGACUGUCUGGGAGCUGGGCAGAACAGAGUCAUAUUUCUCUUCUUGCAAAAGCAAAUAGAAGAAAUAUUGCUGAAUUCUUUUUCUCAGCAAGGAACAGCCCUGAGAAAGAGAAUGCAUUCUCAGGGGGGAGGUCUCUAAAAUGGCCGCUCGGGGAGUGUCUUAUACAGUUGUAGAUAAGGGACGAAAUAAGCCCUGGUCUCCUGUAGCGCCCCCAGGCUUAUUAGGAUUAGGAAAUUCCUGCCUAGUAAAUUUUAGUCAGACCGGUUGUCUGCUCUCAAACCCUGUCUCCUGAUAAGAUGUUAUCAAUGACAAUGCCGGCCCAGUACAACAUGAAACUUCAUCAGCAAUUCUAAUUUUGCCCUGGUCCUGUGAUCUCACUCUGCCCCCAUUUGCCUUGUGAUAUUUUAUUGCCCUUAAAGCAUGUGAUCUCAGCUAAUAAAAACUUGCUGGUUUUGCGGCUCAGGGGGCAUCAUGGAACCUGCUGACAUGUGAUGUCUCCCCCCGACACCCAGCUUUAAAACUUCUCUCUUUUGUACUCUGUCCCUUUAUUUCUCAGACCAGCCAACACUUAGGGAAAAUAGAAAAGAACCUACGUUGAAAUAUUGGGUGCUGGUUCCCCCGAUAAGUGAACCAAACUCAUUCUCACCCAAGUUCAUCAGUCAUCAGUACAGGCUAGUUCCCAAAUCUUAUCUUAUUUAACCUUCCAAAGAAUCAAUCUGAAAUGCUGACCACAAACCUGCGAAACUUUUGUCCCUUGGCUUUUUGUUCCAAGUUUUGCUUUUCUAGUUCUUCUGUCUCCAUGAUCACUGCUUUUAAGUGCUAAUGUUCCCCAGGUCUUGGUUUUAGGAUCUAUGCUCCUUUCAUUCUAUAUAUUUUUCCUGAGUAAUCUCAUCUACUCCCAGACAGUCCAUUCCUUGUUAUAACCAUGUAAUUCCCAAAUAUAGCCCAGAUUAGGACUCCAGACAUAGACAGAGUCUAAGUCCCUUAACAUGGUCCUGUAUUAUCUGGCUCCUGCCUGCAUCUCCCUCUUCACCCUUUGCCAUUCUCCCUUUUAGAUUCUGGGCACAUUUUCUUUCAGGUCCUGAGAUAUUUCAUUUUCUCUAUGUCUCUUACCCCUUGUAAAUGUUUCUUCUGCUUGAUACACCUGCUAACCAUUUCUCUGGAAAACUCAAACUUACCUAUAGGUUUCACCCUAAGAUAAGGCCUGCCUGCUUCAAGGCUUCAAAACGUAUCUUUAACGUGUCCAUUUCCAUCCCAUCUCCAGUCCACCCUAUAGUUCAAACCGCUAUAAUCUUUGACCUUAAAUACUGUUGAGUUUCCAACCACGUCUCCCUAUUCCUUCCUCCCUCCUGUCCAGUCCCCAACUAUUCACCACACAGUUGCCAGAAAGUAUUUUAGAAAUGGAAAUCAGAUUUUGACACAGCCUGCUUAAAACAUUUCAGUGGCUUCUCAUUGCAAUUAAAAUAAAACCCAAACUCCUUUCUGUGGUCUAGAAGACACUGUAUGAUCUAUCAAUCCAGCUGACUCUGUUUACACUUACAAUCAUUAUCUACUGUGACCUUAGGUCCUCAGAACAUCCCAGAGACUUUACCUGUAGCCUCAAUGCUCACUGUUCUCUCUACAUAAAAAUGCUCUUUCCGCUACUCUCCAUAUAGAUAAAUCCUUAUUUUUCAGGUCUCAGUUUAGGUGUUAAUUCCUCAUAGGGAUAUUUCCUUACAAACCUAUCUAAGUAGUCUCUCCUGUCAUCCCCUAGCACAACCAGUACUUACCAUAAUCUGUAGUUAUUGUUUGUUUACUUCUUAAUCAUCUGCCUUGCCUGACCGGUGUUGUAUCUGUGUUACUGGUCAUUGUUUUCCCACAGUAUGUUUACAACAUACUGUGGCUAUUGCUCAAUUAAUGCUUGUUGAUGUUUUGGCAUGGAAGAUAAUGGCAGUGUUUGUUUCUAGGAAUACCAAGUUCAGUCUCAAAAAUGUGAGAUAACCAUUUGGCAACUUUUAGAAAUCGGAGAUGUAAGUGUGUAGUUCAGGGCAGGACUUAGGAUUAGAGGCAGCAAUUUCAAUCAUCUUAAACAUGUCAGUUAAAGUGAAUGAGAACUUGUAAAACAAAAAUAAUGAAGUUGGGAACUUUAAAAAGUGAGCAGAGGCUGAGUCAGCAAAGGAGACUGAUAAACAUUAGAAGGAUAAGAGAAAAGCACAUUAACUGAGCUCCUAGAAAGGAAAAAUCAGAAGCAAAGAGUAGUCAACUAUUACAAAUGCUGCUGAAUAAAGAUAUAAAUUAAAAUACUAGAUUAAUCAUGUCAUUGGGAAUACUAAAAAUAUAAAUUUACAGCACUAGGGAGAGUAGCCAAAUUUUAAAAGGUUGAAGUGUAAUUCGGAUUAGAAAGAGAAAUAGUAAAAGCAAACUACAGUUGGCCGUUCAUAUCCAUAGGUUUGGCGACCACAGAUUCAACCAAACACAAAUGGAAAAUAUUUGAGGGUGGGAAAAAAACGAUGGUUGGGUCUGUACUAAACAUGUACAGACUUUCUUUUUCAUAUCAUUCCCUAAACAAUACAAUGUAACAACUAUUUGCAUAGCAUUUACAGUGUAUUAGGUAUUGUAAGUAAUCUAGAGAUUAUUUAAAGUGUAGGGGAAGUCGUGUGUAGGUUAUAUGCAAAUACUGCAGAGCGUCUAUGGAUUUUGGUAUCUGCAGGGGGAUCCUUGAACCCACUACCCCUCGAACACCAACAGACAACUAUAUUUAAGUUUGGCAGAAGGGAAAAAGGAAUGAUAGUUUGAAGGGUAGUUGGAUCAAGAAUUAUUAAUUUUGUAGACUGAAGGGUGUGAAUUAGAAAAGGGAAAGAGUGAUUAUAUGGAAAAGAGGAAGUUUAAGGUCUCCAAGUCCUGAAAAAGAGCUGAGAGAGACUUUUAAAGGUGGUCCACCGAUAACCCUGGAAAUCCUAGAGACCUUUCAGGGGGCCCACUGGAAGUUACAAUUAUUUACAUGAUAAAACUAAGAUAUGAUUUGCCCCUUUCGCUGUGUUGACAUUCACAGUGAUGGUACAAAAGCUAUGGUGUAAUACAUUGCUGGUUCCUUAGCAUACAUCGAGACAGUAACAUCAAGCUGUCCUAGUGGUCACUGUCCUAAAAAACACCCCCAUACCCUCACACAACUACAGAGCCAAUUUAAGAACAUACUUACUGCUGCAGUCAAAAUUACUAAUUUUAUUGUAUCUUGAUCUUGAAUACAAUGUCUUUUUAAAAAUAUAUUCUGCGGAACAAAAUGGAAGCUACCCAUAAAGCACUUAUGCUACAUACUGGGUAUGAUGGUCAAAAGUUAUCUCAAGGAAAAGUAUAUGUGUAAUUUUUUUAACUGCAAGCUGAACCAGCUACUUUUUUUUUUUUAAUGGAGUGCUGCUUUUACCUAGUAUAACUACCAAUAAGCUACAGUUAUUCAGACUUGAGUAUCUGGCUGACAUUUUCUCAAAAAUAAGUGAGCUUGACAUUUCAAGGAAAAUAGCCAGUGAUAAAAUUUCGAGCAUUCAAGCAGUAACUUGGAACACUUGUGUCCACUACUGUGACUCUGACAGCUUCUCAAUGCUUACAGAUUGUUCCGAUGACAUCACUGGUAACAGAAACAAACGUGACUUCUGGUAUGGUAUAAUGACAUACACUAACACUUGGAAGAUUGUCAUAAACCAGUAGACUGAUAAUCUCCAAAUCACUGAUGUAUACUGUUAUAAAUUAAUGCAGAGGUAAGAGAUCUAUUAAAACUGCAAGACAGACCAAUGGAUUUCAAUUUAACAGAGGAUGAAAAGUUACAUGAUUUGGUUUUAGAUUUCGUAUUGCAACUAAUCUCUACAAUACUCUGAUGUGUCAAGUUUUGGUGUGGUAUUAAAGAAGAUUAUGUGUAAUUAUCUGAAAAGGCUACUACCAUACUUCUCAUGCCUUUUCCAAUUGCAUAUGUGAGGCCAGAUUUUCUGCAUCCACUUCAACCAAAAUAAUAUAUUGCCACAGACUGGAGAAGCCAGUGUAGGAAUCCAGCUGUCUUCUAAUAUGAUAAACAUUAAAGAGAUUAGCAAAAAUGUAAAACAAUGCCAAGAGUCUCACUAAGUUUUAAAUUUUUUGAGUUGAAGUCCUCAAUCAUUUUUAACACUGUAAUGGGGACCUGAGUUCCAAAAACUUGAGAGCCACUGGCCUAGGAGAAGAAGUAAAUUUUAGAAGGCUUUUAAGUUAAACAUAUGAGGAAAAAUGAAAAAGUGAACAGGUGUUAUAUUGAGAGUGAGAGGAAUGAGAAGGGUACAGAAUUGAGGAAAGUGUUAAUUCCAAAAAACAUAAGGAAAGAACUAAGAGAAGCACUGAGGGCUCAGCUAAGAUUUAACUACAUUUGUAUUGGUGCUGGACACAAUUUUCUCCAGCAAUACACAGCAGCCUGGGAGAUCAAAAAUAGGACAAAUGGAGAACUGGAAUAGAGAAGAUACAUGUAACAAAUUUAAUAAGAAAGUGACAACUAAGGUUUCUGGUUAUGUUAAAACAACCAAAUUUAAGGUCCAACCUAGGAACAAGAGAUGAAAUCUUCACUGUUUGGCCAGCUCUUCUACUGAGAAUAAGGAAAGGGACCCUAGUGUUGUACCCAAGUGCAGAGGCAAAAUUAAGAUCUGCUAAACUUUUCGUGUAUGAAAUUAAAGUGUGAAUUAGUAAUGGAUCUUGCCUUCCUUAAAAAUUUAAAUCAUGUAACUCAAUUAUCCACAGGUGGGGCUUUCAGUUGGAAAUGCGUUACAGUGAGUUGCUUUUGUACUUUUAAUAUUAAAAGCCCAUGGAGUGAAUUCUAAGCAGUUAUGCUUCAUGCCAAAUUCUGUUUAAUUCCAGUAUACAUGUUUGAGUGUGUUAACUGAUAACGGACAAAGGCUAGUAGAGCCAAAAUGAAAUAAAGUCAGCUAAAUGAAAAUUAAGUAUUCUAUCCUAAAACAGGACUAUGCUGAGUAGACUUCUCUUUUCAUAAUAAGGUUUUACUUAAGUUUGAAUUUCUCAGGACACAGCAUUACUUUUCUUCUCAAGAGUUCUCAUACUCAAAUUAUUUCCUAGUUUUAAAAGGACUUAACUUACCAUAAAUGGCCGUUUUUCCUGAUUACGUCUGAAAUUACCCAUCUUAAAACACCUAAUCCUACGUAGACAAUUUUGUAUCACAUUACACAGUACUACAGAUCACAGAAAAAUCUUUCUCAUUUUCACAUUUUAUAGCUCAGAACCAGGGUAAACCUGAGCCAUGAACCUCAUCGCAAUUUUUCAAUCUCUUGUUUUCAUAUUACUUACUAUACAUAUACACAUUUUGCACACCAUUUUGACAACUAUACCUUCUACAAUUCUAGCCUUCCAUGUAAACAAGGCUAUAGAAAGACUUAGUUUGACAUCCUGGCUGAGUCAAAUAUCUCAAUUGGACUUCACAUCUAAAAAAAUGAGGAUAACUACAUUUGUUCUUUCCUAUCUUUCAGGGUUGUUGCAAAGAUUAGGUAAGAUUUUCAUAAGCUGUAAAAUAUAGUACAAAUAUAAGAUAUUAUCACAGAUACUUUCAAGUAUUUGAAUAAUAAAACAAAUUAUAUAUUCAAAGUACCAAGGAAUUAAUUUUGUCAUAUAUGCUUACCAAUUACGAAUUAAGAAAUAUUGGUUGUUAGGCAAAUUAUAAUUUAGGUAUGUUGAAGAAAGGAAAAAUAUAUAUAAGAGAAUGUUAAAAACUUCCAAAAACAACAAAAAAACUUUUAAACGAUGUGAUCCACAGUAUUAGCUUCACUUUGGAAGAAAAAUUAAUGAUGUUGGUGUGUCAUUUUAUUACUUUGAUAAAAUAGUAAAUCACAUUAAAAUAAAUACCCAAACACGCCUUUAAACCUUAAAUUAACCCAACUGUAUUAACUCCUAAUAUAUUUUAUAUUUAUAUUUUAAUGGAUCCCUCAAUUUUCCUAAGUUAUUUGUUAAAUAUCUUUUUUUCAUAUUACGUAACAAAAAUUGUGCUACACUGAAAGCCCAAAGCUCUAAUUUCAAUCAACUACACCUACACGCCCCUCUUCCCCUGGGGAAAAAGAAAAAAAAAACCCACCCACUGUACUGCUACAAAUAGCAAAAAUAAAUCUCUCUCUGACUAGUCUUUAGGAGAAACAAUAAAAUAACUGGAAGAAGGAAAAUAAUUGGAAGAAGGAAAAAUGGCUAUAAGAGUUUACACUCUCCCUCAGGCGUCAGCAAACUACAACCCUCAUCUGCUUUCAUGUUUUAGAAUGCAGCCACACCCAUACUAACCAUGGCUGCUUUUGCUGCAAUACCAUUAAUGAGCUGAGAGGCAAUAAAAAGGCCACUCACCCUUUAAAGAAGUUUGCCAAACACUGAGCUAAGCAAUCAAUAUUGAAAAGAAAAUAAAUUCCAAAUAAGUCAAAAUGUUUUUAUUUAUACAAGAAAUACUACUUCUGUUAGGUCUAGCUGAUUCUUAUUUUGGUUCUGUUUGGUUGUGGUCACUCUGUCCGCUUCUUACCAUCUCCACUACCACUACUCUGGUCCAAGAUAGCAUCUUUUCUCCCCUGGACUGCUGCCAUUGUCUCUUAUCUGAUCUUGCUGUCCCAAUCCACUACAGUCUAUCCUCAAACACAGCAGGCAGAUCAGUCCUUUAAAAACUUGUCAAGUAGUAUCUCUCCUUUGCUUCAAACCUUCGAAGGACCCCUAUUUCAUGUAUAAGAUGAGUGAAAGUCCUUCUAAUGGCCUAGAAAGCUUUAUAUGAUUUGGGCCAUUUCAUUUCUUAUAUCAUCUUUUAUUACUCUCCUUUUCCUUUAUUCCCCCUCCUGCCACACUAACUUCCUUCUUGUUCCUUAAACAGACCAAGUGUAUUUUCUGUGAAGUUUUUUAUAACUACCAUUUGUUCUGCCUGGAGCACUCUUUCUUCCGACUUCUGCAUGACUAGCUGAGUGACUCCAAGUGUUUGCUCAAAUCUCAUCUUAAAAUGAGGCCUGACCAGGACACCCCACCCAGAACUCUGUAUUUCCUCAUCUUCAAACUAUUUAUUGUACAUGUGUAAUUUAUGCUACGUUAUAUUUACUGUUUGUCUUCCCUCCCACCCUACUGACUCUCAACUGUAAGAGCUUGGAAUACUGGUGUAGUUUGUGGGAAGGGGGGAGGAUAAAUAGUGUUAAUGAGCUAAGGAAGUGAAAAUUAUAUGCUAUUCUUUAAAAAGUACUAUAGGCAAUUGAGCAGGAGGAAAGCAGAGAGAAGAAUAAAUUUUCACGUUAAAAUAAAACCCUGCCAACUUUAAGCCCUUAAAUUACAUGGCUUAUUGCCUUUAAAAUUAAAACUGCCCAAAAAAAGAAGAAGAA